rnacentral:rRNA from 1 species
UUUAGCAACACAAGUAUUAAAGGUCCCGCCUGCCCAGUGAAAUUUAUUUUUAACGGCCGCGGUAUUCUAACCGUGCAAAGGUAGCGUAAUCACUUGUCUUCUAAAUAAAGACUAGUAUGAACGGCUAAAUGAGGGUAAGACUGUCUCUUAUAAUUAAUCAGUGAAACUGACCUUCCAGUACAAACGCUGGAAUAAGCACAUAAGACGAGAAGACCCCGUGGAGCUUAAAACUAAUCACUAACACAUUAUUACCCUAGUGCACUGUUUUCAGUUGGGGCGACUUCGGAAUAAAACAAAACUUCCGAGCACAGAACCACCACUUCCUACUAAGGCCAACAAGCCCAAGUACAACCUGACCCGGCUCCAAUGCCGAUCAACGAACCAAGUUACCCCGGGGAUAACAGCGCUAUCUUCUUCAAGAGUCCCUAUCAACAAGAAGGUUUACGACCUCGAUGUUGGAUCAGGACACCCAAAUGGUGCAGCCGCUAUUAAAGGUUCGUUUGUUCAACGAUUAACAGUC